GAGAAAAUCCAAAAAUACAUGUUUUAUAUGUAUUUUCGUGUUGUUUCCUCUGUUGGCGAGAAAGAUUGGAUUUUGUCGCGAAUCCGUGGUCGAUCGUGGUGAAACGAAAUCGUAGCUUUGUUGUCUCCGUCGUGCUGAUCGCACUGGUGCAAUCCGUUCGCAAAUCUGACGGACGGAUCUGCGGAGAUUGCGCGUUGAUCGAGGAGAGGUCUGUAAUGGCAAAACGGUAAUUUUGCAAAAGUCGCGAUAUUUUAUGUACCGUUUCGCGUGGGAUCGCACGUGGAGGGGUGUCCGCGAGUUUUACACGCGCUGCGAAGGACUCAGUAAUAAAUACUGAGGUUUGGUGGACUUAUUUGCAAAGUUACACCUUAGUAUUUAUAGCUCUUUAGGGUUUGGAGCCUUGUAACCCUAACCUAGCCCUAGCCGCACCCCCAGCCACCUUCACCCCACUUCCCUGCACCUGCUGCGUACGCCCAGGCCGCCGCCGACUUAGCCCCGGCCGGCCAACCGCCGCCGG
rnacentral:lncRNA from 1 species